rnacentral:rRNA from 1 species
CUUCGGAAUCUUGAGAGCGGCGCACGGGUGCGGAACACGUGUGCAACCUACCUUUAUCAGGGGGAUAGCCUUUCGAAAGGAAGAUUAAUACCCCAUAAUAUAUUGAAUGGCAUCAUUUAAUAUUGAAAACUCCGGUGGAUAGAGAUGGGCACGCGCAAGAUUAGAUAGUUGGUGAGGUAACGGCUCACCAAGUCAAUGAUCUUUAGGGGGCCUGAGAGGGUGAUCCCCCACACUGGUACUGAGACACGGACCAGACUCCUACGGGAGGCAGCAGUGAGGAAUAUUGGACAAUGGGUGAGAGCCUGAUCCAGCCAUCCCGCGUGAAGGACGACGGCCCUAUGGGUUGUAAACUUCUUUUGUAUAGGGAUAAACCUUUCCACGUGUGGAAAGCUGAAGGUACUAUACGAAUAAGCACCGGCUAACUCCGUGCCAGCAGCCGCGGUAAUACGGAGGGUGCAAGCGUUAUCCGGAUUUAUUGGGUUUAAAGGGUCCGUAGGCGGACUCGUAAGUCAGUGGUGAAAUCUCAUAGCUUAACUAUGAAACUGCCAUUGAUACUGCGGGUCUUGAGUAAGGUAGAGGUAGCUGGAAUAAGUAGUGUAGCGGUGAAAUGCAUAGAUAUUACUUAGAACACCAAUUGCGAAGGCAGGUUACCAUGUCUUAACUGACGCUGAUGGACGAAAGCGUGGGGAGCGAACAGGAUUAGAUACCCUGGUAGUCCACGCCGUAAACGAUGCUAACUCGUUUUUGGGUCUUCGGAUUCAGAGACUAAGCGAAAGUGAUAAGUUAGCCACCUGGGGAGUACGAACGCAAGUUUGAAACUCAAAGGAAUUGACGGGGGCCCGCACAAGCGGUGGAUUAUGUGGUUUAAUUCGAUGAUACGCGAGGAACCUUACCAAGGCUUAAAUGGGAAUUGAUCGGUUUAGAAAUAGACCUUCCUUCGGGCAAUUUUCAAGGUGCUGCAUGGUUGUCGUCAGCUCGUGCCGUGAGGUGUUAGGUUAAGUCCUGCAACGAGCGCAACCCCUGUCACUAGUUGCUAACAUUCAGUUGAGGACUCUAGUGAGACUGCCUACGCAAGUAGAGAGGAAGGUGGGGAUGACGUCAAAUCAUCACGGCCCUUACGCCUUGGGCCUGGCAGGUAAUUCAAUGGCCGGUACAGAGGGCAGCUACACAGCGAUGUGAUGCAAAUCUCGAAAGCCGGUCUCAGUUCGGAUUGGAGUCUGCAACUCGACU